CUACGGAGGGUGCAAGCGUUACUCGGAAUCACUGGGCGUAAAGCGCGCGCAGGCGGGCUGAUAAGUUGGAUGUGAAAGCCUACGGCUCAACCGUAGAACUGCAUCCAAAACUGUCAGUCUAGAGUCUGGGAGGGGAAGAUGGAAUUAGUUGUGUAGGGGUAAAAUCCGUAGAGAUAACUAGGAAUACCAAAAGCGAAGGCGAUCUUCUGGAACAGUACUGACGCUGAGGCGCGAAAGCGUGGGGAGCAAACAGGAUUAGAAACCCUUGUAGUCC
rnacentral:rRNA from 1 species